rnacentral:misc_RNA from 1 species
GGAAGUAAAAGUCGUACAAGGUUUCCGUAGGUGAACCUGCGGAAGGAUCAUUCAUAAUAAAGUGUUUUAUGGCACUUUUUAAAAAUCCAUAUCCACCUUGUGUGCAAUGUUAGAUCUCGUCAAUCUUGGCGAGAUUUUUAUACAUCAACUCAUUCUUUAACUAAUUUGUCUGAAAAAUAUUAUGAAUACUUAAUUCAAAAUACAACUUUCAACAACGGAUCUCUUGGCUCUC